rnacentral:rRNA from 1 species
UACGUAGGGGGCGAGCGUUGUCCGGAGUUACUGGGCGUAAAGCGCUUGUAGGCGGUCCACCAAGUUUGGGGUGACAGUUGCCGACUUAAUCGGCAAAGUGCCUCAAAGACUGGCGGACUUGAGGGCCACAGAGGGACAUGGAACUCCAGGUGUAGUGGUGGAAUGCGUAGAUAUCUGGAAGAACACCAAAGGCGAAGGCAGUGUCCUGGGUGGUCGCUGACGCUGAGAGGCGAAAGCCAGGGGAGCGAACGGG